CUGAAACACCAGUUCCUUUAUGAUCACCAAAGUUAAGCAGCAUUGAGCUUGGUUAGUUCCCAGAUGGAUGACCACUUUCGAAUACCAAGUGCUGUAA